GACGAACGCUGGCGGCGUGCCUAAUACAUGCAAGUAGGACGCAGUUGCGAACGGGUGAGUAACGCGUAGGUAACUACCUAUUAGAGGGGGAUAACUAUUGGAAACGAUAGCUAAUACCGCAUACUAGUAGAUGGCACUGCGUUGUAUUAGCUAGUAGGUAGGGUAAUGGCCUACCUAGGCAAUGAUACAUAGCCGAGCUGGAGAGGUGGUCGGCCACACUGGGACUGAGACACGGCCCAAGCUCCUACGGGAGGCAGCAGGAGGGAAUCUUCGGCAAUGGGGGGAACGCUGACCGAGCAACGCCGCGUGAGUGAAGAAGGUUUUCGGAGCGUAAAGCUCUGUUGUUAAGGAAGCGGUACUUAACCAGAAAGGGACGGCUAACUACGUGCCAGCAGCCGCGGUAAUUC
rnacentral:rRNA from 1 species